UACGUAGGGUGCAAGCGUUGUCCGGAAUUAUUGGGCGUAAAGAGCUCGUAGGCGGUUUGUCACGUCGGCUGUGAAAACCUGGGGCUCAACUCCGGGCCUGCAGCCGAUACGGGCAGGCUAGAGUUCGGUAGGGGAGACUGGAAUUCCUGGUGUAGCGGUGAAAUGCGCAGAUAUCAGGAGGGACACCGGUGGCGAAGGCGGGUCUCUGGGCCGAUACUGACGCUGAGGAGCGAAAGCGUGGGGAGCGAACAGG
rnacentral:rRNA from 1 species